rnacentral:tRNA from 1 species
GGAACUGUGGCUCAGUGGUAGAGUGCUUACCUCACAUGUGUGAGGCACUGGGCUCAAGUCUCAGCACCG